rfam:Echinostoma caproni strain Egypt genome assembly, scaffold: ECPE_scaffold0003187
GCACUGCUGAUGAGACUCAGUUAGGUCGAAACAGCUGUCCAGUGC